UGCAUCUAUACUUCCCUCUUACCAUCCCCUCCCCUUCGUUAAUGAAAUUCCUGUCUAAGAGGUGAAAGAUUCCCCACGGGCUUGCAAAUAAAAAGCCAGUGUGGGAGCAAUCUGUGGGAAGAUGCAUGCAGAGUGUGAUGGAGAGUUCAGGGGCUCGUGUGACAAUCCGUGCAAAUGUUUCUAAAGAAUGUGAUUUCCAUGACAACAAUGACCUUUCUGCAUUGUCUACUCCUGUGAUCCAGGACAGUGCCUGGCUCUUGUGGAAUUCCAGAAUCCCACAUGUUUGCCUCUGCCUCUGCCUGAGAGCUCCAGCUACUGCCUGGGUUAUGUAAACUAAAGACAUAUGGCUGAGAUGGUAAUUCUCACAUAGAUCUUUUUCUCCUGGUGAGUAACAAACUUCAAAUUACCACCCACAGUUGAUCAGGGAACACUGAAAAAUGACAACCAGUUCUGGUAUUCACCCAGGGCACACCCAUCCUGCCACACUGGAAGUUAAGAUAUUGAACUUUCUGUAUGAGUUGUUCAUAGCUGCUGCCCUAAAGGACAUGAACAGACACUUCUCAAAAGAAAACAUUCAUGCGGCCAACAAACAUGAAAA